UGAACCCCUGCUGAUGGAGAG
rnacentral:piRNA from 1 species